rnacentral:rRNA from 1 species
GAUGAACGCUGGCGGCGUGCCUAAUACAUGCAAGUCGAGCGAACAGAUGAGGAGCUUGCUCCUCUGACGUUAGCGGCGGACGGGUGAGUAACACGUGGAUAACCUACCUAUAAGACUGGGAUAACUUCGGGAAACCGGAGCUAAUACCGGAUAAUAUAUUGAACCGCAUGGUUCAAUAGUGAAAGACGGUUUUGCUGUCACUUAUAGAUGGAUCCGCGCCGCAUUAGCUAGUUGGUAAGGUAACGGCUUACCAAGGCAACGAUGCGUAGCCGACCUGAGAGGGUGAUCGGCCACACUGGAACUGAGACACGGUCCAGACUCCUACGGGAGGCAGCAGUAGGGAAUCUUCCGCAAUGGGCGAAAGCCGGACGGAGCAACGCCGCGUGAGUGAUGAAGGUCUUCGGAUCGUAAAACUCUGUUAUUAGGGAAGAACAAAUGUGUAAGUAACUAUGCACGUCUUGACGGUACCUAAUCAGAAAGCCACGGCUAACUACG